rnacentral:rRNA from 1 species
GUAGCGAAGUAGCUGAUUUCACACUGUCAAGAAAAGUCUCUAUCGAGGUUAAAGGUACCCGUACCGCAAACCGACACAGGUGGGUGAGGAGAGUAUCCUAAGGCCAGCGAGAGAACUGUUGUUAAGGAACUCGGCAAAAUGACCCCGUAACUUAGGGAUAAGGGGUGCCACCAUCAGGUGGCCGCAGAGAAUAGGCCCAAGCGACUGUUUACCAAAAACAUAGGUUUCUGCUAAGUCGCAAGACGAUGUAUAGGAGCUGACGCCUGCCCGGUGCUGGAAGGUUAAGGGGAUCUGUUAGAGCAAUCGAAGCAGUGAACUUAAGCCCCAGUAAACGGCGGCCGUAACUAUAACGGUCCUAAGGUAGCGAAAUUCCUUGUCGGGUAAGUUCCGACCCGCACGAAAGGCGUAACGAUUUGGGCACUGUCUCAACAACAGACUCGGUGAAAUUGUAAUUCCGGUGAAGAUGCCGGAUACCUGCGACAGGACGGAAAGACCCCAUGGAGCUUUACUGUAGCUUGACAUUGGGUCUUGGUACUACAUGUACAGGAUAGGUG